CUGGGGUUGGGGCUCAGUGGUAGAGCGCUCACCUAGCACGUCCGAGGUGCUAGGUUCAAUCCUCAGCACCACAUA
rnacentral:tRNA from 1 species